GCUCCAGGGACUAGGGUCGCAGGCGCCAUCGCCAGUGCGACGCCCACGGUCGUUCGAACGUGGCGUGUGCCGCCAUUUCGUGGGCGAUCAGAGGCCGGGGGCCUCGUGCCCGCAACGUUUUCCGCAUCCCACAGAGAACGGGCGAGGACUCGUGCGCCACGGCACCCGACGCGAGGCGUGGGCAGCGUGGAGCACGGGAGCCGCCUUAAGGUUCACCCGAAGCCGCACCGUGCAAACGGGCAGCGCUAGCCGAACGGGACAACGAUAGGCCAACGAGAAUUCCGUUGGUGUAGGUACGCAACACAGGAAACCGACGGGCACGGCCAAGGCUAACAACGCUCUUGGGCCAAA
rnacentral:misc_RNA from 1 species